ensembl:misc_RNA 7SK 7SK RNA
GGAUUACAGACUCUGGCUGCGACAUCUGUCACCCCAGUGAUCACCAGUGUUGAUUCGGGUGAUCUGGCUGGCUAGCCGGGUGUCCUCUUCCUCCCUCACCACUCCAUGUGCAUCCCUCCCGAAGCUGUGCGCUCGGUCAAAGAGGACAACCACCCCGAUAUAGGAGGACUGUUUCCUCGGUCAAGAGUAUAUGAGUUGCUGCACUCAGCUGAUAGAACCUCCAAACAAACUCUCAUGUGAGAUUAUUUUUAUUAGUUAACAUAAUUUUUGAAAUAUUAUAUACAAAUAAGCAUAUUGGGUGGUCAACAUCAUUACUAAGAAAUGC